UUGACGAGGCACUGAGCCAUAUGAAUGUGAGUAACAUUUUACCAGUUCUAACAAUAAGGAGGCCUCCAAGUGUGAGAAUAGGGUGAAAGGAACCAGUAAAUCUUAAGUUCCUGUCUUAGCUCUGCUGCUAACUUGCUGUGUGACCUGGAACUAAAUUCUUUCACCUUUCUGGUGAAGGUGUCACAUUUCUAGUGAAAGUGUUGGGAAAUCUCUGACAUUUCUCAAAAUGUACAAAGCACCUUCUCCCAACAGUUAAAUGCGGCCACCCCUAAGGUCUCACACUGUCAUUGUGGCCAGAGACGUGCUGUGCUGCUCCACAGUGAAGGGCUGUAAGAGGUCAGGAAGUAUUCACAGCAAGUGGUAUUGACAUCACUCUGUGCCAUGAGGACAAACAUCCUCAUGCCACUCAUCAAAAGACACUGUUUUCAUUUUGUAGAAGCAAGAAUUGGAAGUGCCUGGAAAUAAUGAGGCCAGGGUAUUAUUAAAGUUUUACAUAAAGAAAACCUCUUAUGAUAGCCAUAGAACAUACCCUUAUCUCCAGGAAUCCAGAGGGAAAUGUGUGGAUAGAGCCACCCAAAUCAGUUCUACUGAUACAAAAGCAAACCAAUCACUUUAGACAGCCCCUACUUUUCCUUUCUAUUUAUUAAUGUAUUAAUUUUUGUCAUUGUUUCUUGAGAGAGUUCUGUAACAAUUUUUAGAUUGACCUCAUCAGUUGGAAGCACAAGUUCGAUACUGGUGUGUUCAUCUACUGCUGGGCCAACUCUGCAAAGUAGUGAUGGUGAUACCUGGCAACACCCUGGAAAUUGAGAUUGCUGCUUUUAUUCAGAAAAAAGAGGAAAAGACUGUGAACUCUGCCUUCUUCUCCCUCACUGGCAAUAGGGACACAGUGGAUUUCACUGGCUGACUGGAAAAGACAGCUGUAGUUCUGCUGAGAAUGUGUGGAUAAGAGCUGAAAGUCCAGGAACAGGAUUCCUGAUUACUAUUGUUUGCAGCCUAGGGACAAACAAAGCUGUUAUUGAAAAGUCUGAGUUUGAAGUCUUUGUUCUCCAAGGAGAAUAGAAACGAGUAAGAUUAAGAGAAAGAAGAAAAUAGGAUAGAAUAGGUGAUUUACCCAUUUCAGGACCUCCUCUUAGUAUGCUGUCUUCUGGUUCCUUUUAAGUUGUUCCAGCAUAGGAGCUAGAAGCAUACAGCAGAGACCAGGGAUUUAAAGUGCUACACUGGCCUUCUCUCUUGCUGUGUUGGUGCUUUUCUAUACGAAGGGCAUGUCUGGACCUCCCUAACAGGUUGGAACCCAGCAUAUCGAAGGUGCCUACAAGGCUGUAUUUCUGAGUUACUCCAACUCAUCUAAGACGUGAGCACCAGUGCACUCCAAAAUACUGUGCCCCUCAGCACAGUCGAGGUUUCUUAGCAAAAUGGCGAAGCCUC